rnacentral:rRNA from 1 species
AUUGAACGCUGGCGGCAGGCCUAACACAUGCAAGUCGAGCGGGGUUUUCGGACCUAGCGGCGGACGGGUGAGUAAUGCGUAGGAAGCUGCCCGAUAGAGGGGGAUACCAGUUGGAAACGACUGUUAAUACCGCAUAAUGUCUACGGACCAAAGUGUGGGACCUUCGGGCCACAUGCUAUCGGAUGCGCCUACGUGGGAUUAGCUAGUUGGUGAGGUAAUGGCUCACCAAGGUGACGAUCUCUAGCUGGUUUGAUAGGAUGAUCAGCCACACCGGAACUGAGACACGGUCCAGACUCCUACGGGAGGCAGCAGUGGGGAAUAUUGGACAAUGGGCGCAAGCCUGAUCCAGCCAUGCCGCGUGUGUGAAGAAGGCCUUCGGGUUGUAAAGCACUUUCAGCGAGGAGGAAGGGGUGAGUGUUAAUAGUACUCAUCUUUGACGUUACUCGCAGAAGAAGCACCGGCUAACUCUGUGCCAGCCGCCGCAGUAAGAC